AGUGGGGGAGAGGGGAGCGGGGCCGACACAGGGUUCCUGACCAAGCUGGUGCUUCUGUGUGUGUUCCUGCAUGACUUGGUGUGUCCCCUUCUCUUGGAUCUACUGCAGUUGACAGCAGAUAACUGAAAGCUUGGAAAGUGAAACCGUGGAUAAGCAGGGGAACUGUGGCAUCCCAUUUAAAAUUGCUUCUCCUAAGCCACCACAUAAAAAGUCAGACCAUCUGCUGGAAGAACCACAUGGAGAGGCCCUGAGUCGACAUGGAGAGGAAGAAGGACUUGAUUGAAUCCAGCCUUCCAGCUGUCCCUACCAAGGUGCCAGGCACGAGAAUGAAGCUGUCUUGGACUCUGAAGACCAGCUUAGCCACCAGGUAAAUGCCACUAAGUGACCUCACUCAAUGUCAUGUGGGAUGGAAGAAUCACCCAGCCAAACCCUUCCUGGAUCCCUGACCCAGAAAUUUGUCAGAUGUAAUGGUUGUGUAAAGCCACUCAAUUUGGGGGCAGUUUGUAUGCAGCAUAGCUAGCUGGUAUGAUACAACAGCCUGCAAUUCAGGCAGCAGCAGCACUAACAACCAUGAA
rnacentral:antisense_RNA from 1 species